rnacentral:rRNA from 1 species
UACGUAGGGGGCGAGCGUUGUCCGGAAUUAUUGGGCGUAAAGAGCGUGUAGGCGGUUCGGUAAGUCUGCCGUGAAAUCCUGGGGCUCAACCCCGGGCGUGCGGUGGAUACUGCCGGGCUAGAGGGUGGUAGAGGCGAGUGGAAUUCCCGGUGUAGCGGUGGAAUGCGCAGAUAUCAGGAGGAACACCAAUAGCGAAAGCAGCUUUCUGGGACGGUACUGACGCUGAGACGCGAAAGCGUGGGGAGCGAACAGG